rnacentral:rRNA from 1 species
GCGAAAACUUUACAAUGCUGGCAACAGCGAUAAGGGAACCUCGAGUGCCAGGUUACGAAUCUGGCUGUCGAGAUGCCUAAAAAGCAUUUCAUAGCAAGGGCCGGGCAAGACCGGUGCCAGCCGCCGCGGUAACACCGGCGGCUCGAGUGGUAACCGUUAUUAUUGGGUCUAAAGGGUCUGUAGCCGGCCGGAUAAGUCUCUUGGGAAAUCUGGCAGCUCAACUGUCAGGCUUUCAGGAGAUACUGUCUGGCUCGAGGCCGGGAGAGGUGAGAGGUACUUCAGGGGUAGGGGUGAAAUCUUGUAAUCCUUGAAGGACCACCAGUGGCGAAGGCGUCUCACCAGAACGGACCUGACGGCAAGGGACGAAAGCUAGGGGCACGAACCG